CGGUCGUAAAGAUUGAGUCACGAUCUUUCUCAUCAGCCGAAAUACAACAUUUUAGAACUGAAAAUACGUGGAGUGAUUAGAACUAGAGAAUACUUAUGAUUUAUAUGUGGUUUACAGGUAUAAACCACUUUAAACUGGCCGUUGAGAAAGAUCGUGACGCUAAUUUUACGACCAUUUCGGCCAUUUGGAAACCAGGCUCCUACUUUCAAGGACAAUGUAACUAUGGUAUACUGAAAGACAAAAGAUCAUCUCGAAUUUAGCGGAUGAAACGAGGCUGAGAGUGCACGAGAGUUGACAGUCACGUGACCUUGGUUAGCUGAUCUUAAUGCUUUCCCAACACUAUCAUGUAUUCUGCUUAAGUUAAAACAUAGUUAGAACACUUAUCAAAACCUUUAUUUUGUUAAUCUAGAGCUUUUUAAUGGACCAUUUGCAUUAUAGACUAGAUUUUCAUCUAAACAAGUCUAGACAAAA
rnacentral:lncRNA from 1 species